UACGGAGGAUGCAAGCGUUAUCCGGAAUUAUUGGGCGUAAAGCGUCCGUAGAUGGUUUUGCCAGUCGGCUGUCAAAGCACAGGGCUUAACCCUGUAAAGGCAGUGGAAACUACAAGACUAGAGUGCAGUAGGGGCAGAGGGAAUUCCCAGUGUAGCGGUGAAAUGCGUAGAGAUUGGGAGGAACACCUGUGGCGAAAGCGGCGCACUGGACCACAACUGACGCUGAGGCGCGAAAGCUAGGGGAGCAAACAGG
rnacentral:rRNA from 1 species